GCAGGUAGCGGUAGUUGCUUCCCGCAAUAAAACAAGGGAAAGGACUUCAUAUCCACUGGCUUUGCAGAGAAUUUCAAAGUGGCGUUACACAGAACUUCAUAGCGAGUUGUGUUACUUCGGAGUGCGUGUGCGCGAAGAGUGUUUAGUUUCCGCCUGUCGCGUGCUUCAACAGGAAUAACACAGUCGUUUUAUUAGGAUUCCCAUAAAUCAUACAGUUUUUGUGGCUGAGGUAUAGGAAUGAAAUGCAUUCUUAUAUAUUUGUAUCAAAUACACGAGUUAAAAUGGCAAUGAUAUUUUUGCCGAUGGUGAAAUGUGAUUCUGUUAAAGAUCGCGUGGCAAAGUUAAGUUCGUAAACAGAUUAGAUACUUCGCUUAGAGAGACUUGAAAUAUUACGGAAAUUUGUGAUUAUUCCACGAUCAUAUCGUUAUGAGUAGCCGUACUUCAUGUGUGCUGACAAGACAGAUUCGAAUCAGGUGCUGAUUUUUCAUAUAAAUUUAAGUAAUUGCGAUUUGUUUUUAAUGAAAUAUGAAAUAUAUUCCGUGAUUCAGUUAUUCACGUGCCAUAAAAAAUGCCUAAAAAUAGACCCAUUACAUGCCUAAAUGUAUUUAAUUUGCACAUUUAAUUUCCCAAUGAAUAUGUUCAAUGCUGCUCCCUAAUAUACCGAAAGCGUGUUGUUUUGAAGGCAGUUGAUUUUGCUGAGGGUGUGCCACCCCAUUUGAAAUCGGCGAUAUUUCAUUUUACUUGCGUGUUUCAUACUGAGCAAGGAGGCGUGUAGUGAUGGGCAGGAACAUUGUAUGGACACAUCGUUGAGUAUUAGAAGGGACAUAUCAUUAUAUCUCCUGCUAAAUACUUUCUCUUUUCGUUUUCAUUGUUCAUCCUCCAUUAUACGUGAUGUUUCUAUGAGAUGGCUCCACGGCGCCAGGGAGGAAGAGAUACAUUGACGUCAUAAUGAAAAAGGAGCACCACCUGCAGUGGAAUGAAGCGAUGUAAAUUCGAGAAGGUUUCUGAAUACUCGUACAAAGAACAGAGAACAGUCUGUGUUUGGGAUCGGUUAUAAUUUCCAGAAUCGGAGAGUACAUUUCAUUCUGUAACUUGACAUAUCACACGCACGUAUGAUCGACCAACAAAUUUUUGUAGACAUUGAUUUCUUUGGACUGUUGUUUAAUAAUAUGCAUAGCAUUAUUUUCGCUAAUAGACUUUGCAUCUACCACAAGGACUGUAUUUAACUUCUUAACAUAUUUCAUCAUAUUAAGAGUAGUUUAGAACUGGAAUGUUUGUACGCUUUCAUGGACAGCCUGUGAUAAAAUUUACACGAAAUACUAAAACAUUGGAAGGUAAAUAGUGAACUGUUAAAAACAUGCGUACAGUACGGCGCACAGACAUGUCUUACUGAGACCCGUUAAGUGCAGUGAUUACUGAGUGCCGACAAGAGUGAUUUCACAUCGAGUUCUCAAAUCCCAAGUGAUUAUCACGACACAGUUCCAUCACAGACACUCUUUCAAAGAGAUGAAUGAGUGAAAUGGGGAGCAAAGUGGCAACAGGCAGUAAGUCCAUCAGUGUUCGCGGUUGAAAGGAAGAACUUAACAGCACAUGACAUGAAUCCUUAAACAGGGCCGCUUAGCAGAUGGAGAGAUAGGACAGGCACACUGACACCCCGAAGGCCUCACAAUGAGUGGGUUUGGCAGCAGGCUGGACGGUAGCAGCGCCAGGACAGCGCACAUGCAGUAUCUCAACGUUUACGAUCCUCGAACGUCGAUGAGGGGUCGCCGCUUCCAGAAGUGUUCGUACAGACCUCUCACCCUCAAACCGGUGGAGGAAGUGGAGGGGUCUUCUUCAGCUCACCACCACCUUCAUUACUCCCCAGACGGUGGGGGCGGGGGCGGCGGUCCUGCCUCCUCAUCCUCUUCGUCGUCGCCGCUACCGCCAUCAGCACUGCGUCGUCAUCGCCCCAUGAUGGUGGACACCACGGGUAUCGGACCUGGGCCCUCGUCAGCACCUUCUGGAGAUGAUACCACAGCAAGCGGGGCAGUGGGGGGAACUCUGUCGGAAGGGAGUGCCAGUGAGUCGUCUCCUCGACAGUCCGGGGUUCAGUCUUUGGUAACAUCCAGGGAGGAAGACGGUGAAGAGGAUGGCCAUGGCGGAGAAGGAGAGGAUGCGUCAGGAAGCUGCAGCAAGAGGGACAGCAUCGCUUCAUCUGACAAGAGCCCCGGACAAAGACCUCCACCGCUUGCUAAUCAGAGUAGGUCGAAAAGUGUCGGCGAGCAGAAGUGGCAGAACCUCCGCGCCGUUAUGGCUUUGUACACGAGACUCCGGAAGAUCAAGAGGACGAAGAGCAACCAGAGGUGGAUGAAGCUGCGAACAACAGUGCAGCUAUCUGGUGCCAUUACCACCAUCCAGAAGAAACCUCCUCUCAAGCGAGAAGACUCAUUCCUCAAGCGGUUCUCAACCAGGCAGAUCCCGGAGGCACAGGAGACGAUGGAUACCGGGGACGACGGCGACGGCGGUCCGAGCAGUCAGAGCACAGCAAGCACAAGGAGACGUCGGCGGCGGAGACAGCGCCUUCCUCGCACCGUGGUCAAUCCUGACGAGAACUUCUACUUCUACUGGCUCUUCGUGCUCACCGUCUGUGUACUCUAUAACCUGUGGACAUUAAUCGUUCGGCAAAGUUUCCCCGAACUUCAGUCAGGCGCGACCGUGUUGUGGUUCACGUGUGAUGGCUUCAGUGACGCUGUUUUUCUCUUGGAUGUCGCCGUCCAGUUCCGCACAGGAUACCUCGAACAAGGACUAAUGGUUUACGAUUCCAAAAAACUCGCUGGACAUUACGUCCGCUCUCGUGCGUUCCUGAUGGAUUUGUGUGCGCUCCUACCUCUUGAUUUCUUGCAGUUCUAUCUCGGAAUGCAGCCAAUAUUGAGGUUCCCUAGGUUCCUUAAAGUGUACAGGGUGUAUGAUUACUAUUACAUGGUGGAGUCUAGGACGGUGUAUCCCAACCUGUGGCGAGUAGUGAACUUGGUGCACAUCCUGCUGAUUCUGGCUCACUGGUUUGGAUGUUUCUACUACCUGUUAUCAGAAGCUCAAGGGUUUAUCGGCGUGUGGGGGUAUCCGUACAAUGAACCGGGAUACCAAGAGCUGACACGCAAGUACCUAGGAUCGCUUUAUUGGUCAACGCUUACCUUAACCACUAUCGGCGAUCUGCCAACACCGGGCACCAAUGUAGAGUACGUGUUUACCAUUGUCAGUUACCUCAUCGGCGUGUUUAUCUUCGCCACAAUUGUAGGACAAGUGGGAAAUGUCAUUACGAACCGUAACGCAAACCGUCUGGAGUUUGAGCGGCUUCUGGAUGGCGCCAAGACGUACAUGCGACACCACAAGGUUCCUGGGGGUAUGAAGAGGAGAGUCCUCCGGUGGUACGACUACUCGUGGUCCAGGGGUCGUAUUCAAGGAGGUGGUGAUAUUAAUACAGCCCUUGGCCUGCUGCCUGACAAACUGAAGACUGAACUGGCUCUGCAUGUAAAUCUCAGUGUCCUUAAAAAGGUCACCAUCUUCCAGGAGUGUCAGCCAGAAUUUCUCCAUGACCUGGUGCUCAAGAUGAAAGCCUAUAUUUUCACUCCUGGAGAUUUGAUUUGUAGGAAAGGAGAAGUUGCCCGGGAAAUGUUCAUUAUUGCAGAUGGUAUCCUAGAGGUUAUAAGUGAGACAGGCAGAGUUCUUACCACAAUGAAAGCUGGAGAUUUCUUUGGAGAAAUUGGAAUCCUCAACUUGGAUGGACUAAAUAAGCGCACUGCAGAUGUAAGGUCAGUAGGAUACUCAGAACUCUUCAGCCUUUCUCGUGAGGAUGUACUUGCUGCUAUGAAGGACUACCCAGAGGCCCAGGAAAUCUUGCAGAGCCUAGGCCGCAAGCGUCUAAUGGAGGCACGUAAUGUGUCGCGAACCAAGUCCUCAGGGCACCAUGAUGGGAAGGGCAUGAACUCUCCUGCCUUAAGAGAUGGUGUGGGAGGCACUGACUUGGAUGGCAGAGCUGGCAAGCGCAUUGUGGAGAAACUGAGAAGUGAUGUUAAGGGCCUCAGGAAUGUCUUGCGUAAAAGUAGGCGUGGAGCCAGAAUGAAGGAUGAGUCCAUGGAACUUCAACCAUUAAACCCUGGCUCUAUCAGCACAGCGCGUGUGUCAUCUGCUGCACACUCUGGAAAGGGUAUGCUGCGUAGAAUGUCCAGAGUUCAUAGUGAUGAGAACUACUCACGAGAAGAAUCACUGGAAGAUCAACCAUCUGCAGCACCUACGGCUAAGUUAGGGGAAGGUCUUCCUCUGCUUCAACGCCUGCGUCUGCUUAAGGAGAAACAAGACCGAGAAGAUAGAGGGAAACAUGCGUUAACUCCGACAUCUCCUCCGCCUGCACCAGCCACACUGUCACCACCAGCAUUCAGACUUCAGCCUCCACAGGAAGAAUCACAGGAACAAGAAGUGAUUGGCCCUGGAUUACCACUAAUACAGAGGCUUCUUUUGCUCAAACAAAAAGAAGAUCAUGAAAGACUCACAAUGCAGACAACUGCUGCUGUUACUGCAGAUGUUCUAGCAACUGCAGUGAAAUCACAGCAGGAGGCUGAGUCUAAAUCCAUACAAUCAACUGUGUCUCCUCCUGGCAGGAAAGUGAAGGGAUGCAUUAGUGAUGAUUCACGACAUUCAUCGUCUAGUAAAGAACAAUCAGAGGAUGAGUCAUCACUAGUAAGCAGGAAAUCAUCUCUGCUCAAUAGACUGGUGUCAUUGAAACAUAAAGAUUCAUCAAGUGCUUCAGUUGUGAAACAGUCCACUGGUUCUAGUGUUGUGAUCCCUCCUCAACAAACAUCUGAUACCAGUUCAUCAAGUAGUGCUGAUCCAUGCAUGGCUGCCUCUAUGAAAGUUCCACUUCUCCGUGAUAAAUUGAAGCUACUAACGCAGAAAGAUAAUGUACAAUCUUCAUCGGCACCACCAUCAUCAUCAUCAACUGGGAUAGUUAUUUCUCCUCCCAAAGUUCAUAACCAUUCCAGUGCUAAAAGUGACAAUGACAGUUCCAGUAGUUCUGCAGCAGUGUUAAAAAAGCAGCACUCAUGGAGUCUUUUAAAAAAGGCCUCCAUAUUAUCAUCACAUGGCUCGAAUGAAACUUCUAAAGAACCUAAUGUUACAGCACCAAAGUCUGCCACUAUUCAUGACCUUCCAGUUUCAUCUAAUCAAGUAGAGUCUGGUGGUACUUCAACAUCUCAGUCCCGAGAAGAGGAGGUUUCAGAUUUAGCCAUGGUUCAGACAUCUACUGAUGAAACUGAAGUGAUACUGUGUGAUAACAAUGAUAGUAAAUCAGUUCCUUCCAAACUUCCGUCAGCUCUUAAAAUCAGUGAAGUAUGUAGUGCUAAAAGUAUGUCUUUAUUUAAGCAGAAAGUAACAAAACUUAUCAGUGAGGACCAAGGGCAACAAUCUGCAAUUUCACAGGUUUCCAAAGUUCAAGACAAGCUCAAGUGUGAAGAACAAGUGCCUGCUCAAGAGGAGAAGAAAGAGAAUGAAGACAACCUGAAACAUAUACCUACUGAAAUAUGCAGUGAGGAAGGAAAAGAGAUAAAUUCCAAAAAUUCAAGGGAGAUAGCUUCAUCAAUAGGUUCAGGAGAGGAGAUAGCAGCCCAACCUUCCAUGAAAAUCAUGGAUCCUUCUGUAUUGACACCCGCAGAACCUUCAACUGCAUCUUCAGAAAGGCGACGGCCCAAACCCAAUCUCCUUCGACUGCAACAGGAUACAAAGUUUUACAUGUCUAUUGAUGAUCUUUCUCCUGAAUACUCUGGGUUACCUUUUGUUAAAAAACUGAAAAUUCUUAAUGAACGACAGAAGUUAGCUGAGCUGGAACAAAAAGUUGCUCAUGUAUUCAUGCGUAGUUCAAGUUUGGACAGCAGUAAUGCCAUAUCAGGCACUUCAGGUGGAAGUGGGGACUCAACUGAGUACCCUCUGGAUCUAACGAAUCUGACAAGAAGCCACUCUGAAGCCAGUGCCAUGCAAUAUGUAAGAUCCCAACAACUCAGCAGAGACUCUUUCAGCCGGAGUGGCUCACAGAUGAGCAGGAAGGAUGAUGAAGAAGAGGAAAGUGCAUCUCCCCCGCAACGACCGGCAGAGCUUCCACAGACACCAGCAUCUAAAGCACCGGUAUCACUAACAUCUCCAGAAAGCAAUGAGACUUUGGAGAGACGAAACCUGAAAAGUAUUCUCAAGAAAUUGUCAGCAAGUUCCCUCUUCUCAAGGAGUACAGAAGAGACAAAAACAACCAGCUCAAGUGGUGAUCAGCCUGAAGGAAAUGCAAUCAAGGAAGUAACCACAACCCAGCCAGCAUCAAAACCGUUGACUGUGGACAUGCACAAAUUGUUGAGGGCACCAACUAUAGAAGGCUAUGCUGCACGUCAUAGUAAGCUGACCAAGAGUGUGACAUUUAACCGUGACACACUUCAGUCCCCUCCAGCUACAGCCACAACACCAACUAACCUUUUGCAGGAACCCUCUGGAAGCCUCUUUCCUCUUCCUGCUGCCUCAGAUGUCCUAACAGUAGGUACAGUCGUAUCCACAUGCAUAACCACAUCUACCACUACAAACUUAACUAUUAUUACACCCUCAGCAGUCUCAUCUGCAUCACCCACAGAUUUUAGUGAAGCAUCUGUACCUCAGCAUGAAACAUUCCCUCCAGUUACGACCCCAGGGACAGUUGUCUCAACUACAACAUCGUCUUCAGUAGCAUCACAACCCACCAUAUCAACAGUUAGCCCGGUGUCGCCACUGGCCGGUAUAACAAGUGAGCCUUCACAAGUAUCAGCAGCAACUGACAUGACCCAAACACCAGCAGAUGCCGCAGAGUCAGCUUUAAAGAAGAAGCCCAACGUCUCCUUCCUUGUGCAGCAUCCGCACCAGAUACCCUUGUCCGCAAAUGAAAAGAAUUUCUUCCGUCCCUCACUUCUGCUGCCAUCACAUGCUUGUCUUGAAGAAGAGUACUUCAAUGAGGUCAUUGUGGGUAUCAAGCAGGUCAUCCAAGGACACUUGGAAGAGAUCCAGAAUAAGUUUCAGUCUCAGUUUCAGUCUCUUGAACUAGAAGUGAAACGGAGAGAUGAAAUCAUCUCUCAGCUACAAAAGCGAAUACAUGAACUUGAGCAUCCUGACUCCACAGAAAAAGAUCAUGAGGGUGAUGACAGAGAUUUAUCAGACACAGAUGAUGGGUCAGACCAACCAUUCAUGCGAGGAGACUCUGUAGACACAGUUCUAAUGUCUCCUCCUCCAGCAUUACCAGAUGAUCUUGAAGAGGAGAGUGGCAAUAAUGCUGUGGCAGAUGAGGCACCAUACCAUAGCAUGAUUUCGCCUUCACACCACAUAUUACAACAGCCGCAGACAUAUCGUCACUCCUGGGAGGACCAUUCAGAGGAGGAAACCCUUGAGUUGUUGGAUUUGCCCAGUUCAAUCAGUCCACAACACAUGUGGUGUGUGGAAGAUGGGUUACAGAAUGACAGAGACAUACCAAUAGACAGUGUUGCCUUGGAUCUUGGAUCUUCUGACACAUCAUCCUCAUCAUCUUCAUCAAGUGAUUCUAGCAAUGAUGAGGAUGACGCCUUUGCUACAGAUGAUCUUCACAGUGUUGGGCACAACCAAGAUUGGGAGGUGCAGAUGCUGGCUCGUGAACUGGAACGGAGAGAAGGUAUCAGCCGCCUUGAGGAUGAAGUGCGGGACUUAAAAGUUGCUGUCAGCUCAAGUGAUCUGAGUCACCUGACGAGCUCUGAGCUGGACAUACUGGAACAAGUUCUGGUAGCUAAGGACCGUAAAGUGAGAGCAGCUGCUCGAGCCCUCAGUCUUGACUCUGAUGACAGCUACUUAGAUGAACGAUCACUCCAUCCAGUCAUCCGUCACAAACCAGAACUCCAUUCCCCAUCACUCUCAUCAGCAUUGAAUAAACAGAGGCUUUUGAAGCAACGAUCCACAAAUGGUGGAGGCAGCAUUGAAAAUCUCCUGUAUAGGACAAGUCUCUUAAAAAAUCGCCUUUUUUCAGCAAGUACUAAAGGGCAUAAACCUCUUGUAGCCCGUUCACUGGAGGAAACUCCUGACAGAUCGCAUAAAACCACAAUAAGCUCAAGUGAACGUAGGAAUCGUAGUGCAUCAAGUGGAAGCAUUACUCCAGUAGGUAGAACAUCAAAUUUUGCAUUGCCAUCUGCAUCAAGUUUAAUGAGGGGCCUGGGGACUUUGGUGAGAAACUCUGCAAGCACCUCUACAUCUCAGAACUCUUCUCACAACAGGCGACUCUCUGCGACAUUACUCGGUGCUGUCAGCAACAGGGCUGCUGUUCCCACAAUAUCCAGUACUUGUGGCGAGGUGUCCCCUGACCCCAGCCACCACACAAAUGACCCUCCACCACCUGAUCUAUGAAUAAUAGUUCUUGGAAACAUUAUCAUUCACACUGUGCUGAAUUGCAUUACAGUACACCAAUGACACAAGACCGUUGGUUACAUCUCUCUUUUGAGGCGCAUUGCAUUGUCUCCUGGUACAAAAGCAGGUUUAUUCACUGAUCGUGCAAGUGUUCACCCAUUCAAGCACUGAUCAUGCAAGUGUUCAAGCAUUCAAAGCGUUAUGCGUCAGUGAUUGAGCUAAUGAAGGUAAUACGCAUUUUCUUGCAUAAUUCAGUUUGAUAUGUUACUCUGUCUAAAGUAAUAACAGCCCUAUGUCUUUAAUAAUUAUUUUUAUUUAGUUAAGAAGUAAUAAACUUGUAAGAUAUGAAGUUUUCACGGCAGUGACAAUGAAGAAUGCCAUCUUCUGGGAUGUGGCGCCUAUUAUUUUUAUUUAAUUAAGAAGUAAUAAGGUUGUAAGGUAUGAGGUUUUCACAGCGGUGACUGGGAAGAAUGCCUUUUAUGGGUUGUGGCACCAGGUAUAUCUUGUGUAAAUAUACAUUUUGGAGGAACGUAUCGCUAUCUACACACCUCACCACAUCGGAGAAGACUGCAUUCUUCAAAUGUUAACAUUUAAUAGUACAGGUCUCAUUAAUGAAAUCAGUAAUUGUGAGUGCACUCAUAAAAUACUGCAUGGUACAAUCCCUGAAGUAAUCACAUAGUUUCUGUAGUCAUUAAAUGCACUGAUUUGUGUAAUGUUUCUAUUUAUAUCCAAUAUAUUUUCUUCAUUACGCUAGUUAAGCACAAUAGACGACUGUAGGUCAUGGUGCAAAGGCCAAGAAGUCAUUCAUUCAUUCUUUCUUUCUGCUAGUUUCUUUAUACUUUGGUUCUGCAGUAAGUUUGAAAUUAUUCUACUACAUAUAUUGUGUUACUAGUACAAUUAUAUAAUCUGUAAAAAUAUGUCACACAUGUUAAUAGUUCAAAUUUACUACAUAACAUAGGCAACGAUUUUCUUUCCUAUAACUUCAAUAAAAGAAUUUACCUCAAGGGAGACAGAUUUGUUAUAAGACAAAAUGGAAUUCUACUGUAAUUUAUGUACUCAGAGAAACUGACAUGAAUGAAUGCCAUUAAUAAUGACCGUCAUUGACCCAGCUAUCGUGAAUAGUUCUCUGCAUUUAAUAAAUUAAAUUCAUAAUAACAUCUUCCUGAUCUAGUUUAUACCUCAUGUGACAGUUAUGGACCUUACAUUAACUUCUUACUCUGUCUUAUUUAACAUUUUGGUAUUUACAAAUGUUUGACUAGAAUAGCAUAGUGAGUAUGUUGACUGCCUACAUGACGUACGGGCGAGAGGUCAGAGUUCGAGUCCUGGUAGGGACAAGAUUUUUCACCUCUUCACGUCAUCCAGACCAUUUCUGUGGCCCACCCAGCCGCCUAUCCAAUGCUUACCGCGGAUCCUUCCCCGGGGUUAAUGCGGCUGGAGCGUGAAUCUGACUGCACACAUCCAACUUGUACCGAGGUAAAGAAUACAUUGAUCUGUACAUCCACUCCCCAAUACUUAUUCAUGCCAUAUUGCUUAAUUGGUUAAGCAUAGGGUCAAUUUUCCCCAUAAAUCUUUACUUUAAUCUGUAAGACAGGUGAGAGAUAACCUCAAUUCAGUAAAACUGUGGGCCCCAUUAAAUUGUGGCAGAAUGAUUUCGUUCCAUUCCCCAGAGCUUUCAUCUGUAAAUUUUCCCGAAGUUGCACUGCAUGUAAGUUGAUUUUAAGAACACACAUAUACAAACAGAUGUCUGGUAGAAAUCUCCAUUUACAUUUGUUACACUUUCUAUGAUGUAUGAUAAAUUGUCUCUUGUAUUUCGCCAAAUUUUUACUACUGUCUCUCUCGACAUUCUUUCAUCGUUUUAUAUGGUAAUCUGUAAGGAACAUAAAUGUUAGAACACGAAAUGUAUGAAUUAUCUCUUUCAAUGACUGAAAUAAUAUCCCCCAUUCCAUUAAUCUUAUCCUGUACCAAUUAUCCCCACACAAAAUUGGGAAUAUUUGUAUAGGACAGAACAGUGGGUAAGGGAAAAGUGACCCAUUUGCACGAGGAUGUUGACCAUGCUUGCCUAGCCAACUUUGUCCAGGAUACAGAUUUGAAAGCACACUACAACCGAGGAGUACAUGAAAGGCUUUAUUGGGGAUAUCGAACAUAACCCAAUUGUCUGGGUUGCUUGAGAUAACUCUUAUGUCUAUCCACUUCUGGAGUUCGGAGAGACGAAACUUGUCUUCCUCCUGAAUGAAAGAUUGUAGUUCAGGCUUGGGGAAAUUGAGAGCUUUAUGUGUAGAAUUUAACAACUCUACUACAGACAAAUAUGCCUCAGAAUAAUGUUUCUCUACCCAAGUGGUUGUAUUUAUUCUCUCAGGUGGUGCUGUAGCUUUUGCAAGGAGACUGCCAUAACACACUUCAGAUUUGAGGUUCAAUUUCUGAGUAUUAAUGGGAUAAUUACCAAUAACACCAUGAAGAAACUUUGGGAUUUUGUUUGAUGUGUCUUUUAGACAUUGUCGAGUUACAGGGCGUAUAGCUGAUUGCAAGUGGGAGUCUGGUAACCUGGGGUGUUCACUCCCAGGAGCAGAUAUAUUGUCCUCAAUGUCUGGUAUGUAGUCGUCAAUGGUGGUAGCUCAAUGACAGGUCAUGGAUCACUGUUAAAUAGUACUAAUAGCUGAAGUUCAUAGAUGGAUAAAAGAAGACACCUAUACGGUUGCUAGGUGUUGUUGGAUAUUGGUGUAAUACAUUAUAUAUUGUGGCUUUGAGUUCAUGACCCUCUAAUUAUUUUUUUUUUCCUUUCUUGCUUUCUUUCUUCCCCCCCCCCCUCCCCCCGGUAUGAUGUAACUUAAUGGGAUCGUGUCGGUUGGAGUGGAGCAGUUGGUUGUUGGGUUUGAGUCUGCUGUAUGAAAUGAGGUAAUGGGAAAGAAUAUAUUCAUUAUUCUCCUUCUGCCAAACAAAUACCAUUACCGGAGAACUCAAUGUGCGCCUGGGGAAUAAUCUCUGGCUGUUCUUGCUACAACCUCUACAGGAAGUUCUGCUAGUUCGAUUGGACAGACCUUACAAACUAUAUCCACUGUUUCAGAUUCAUAUUUUGCCAGAUUACGGUUGAGUAUAGCAUAUUUUAAUUUCACAUUCUGGAUACCUAUUGAAGUUUGGGUUUCGGUAAACAAGGUGGAUGCUGAUGUCAAAUCAUCUACACCGCCUGUAGCCAUCCAUACUAGUUUGCCCACAUCUUCAGAAUUGUCUAUAGAUGAUUAGUAGUGUACAAGGUUCAGCGUUUUUAGUUUUAAUCCAUUUUGGAUGAGGUCAUAUAUUUUUGCAAUUGGAGCUGCUUUGCACAAGUAUCUAGAAACAUAUCUUCCACAAAGUUUGACGUGUUCACAGAUUUCUGUGGUUCACCUAUUCUUGCAUGGGCGUAAAUAUGCCACAAUAUUACUUCUGAAGUCUCACACCUGUAUAAAGAAGUGUGUUCCUGCUGCCACAUUAACAAACUUUGAAUUAUUAUUAUUUCACUGAAAUUCUUUCAAGUAUAGCCUGAACCAUUCUCUAUCAGUGUUACAUUUUGACAGCUAUCUGGUGACUGAUGGAUGUUAAGCUCCAAGAAGAAAUACUAAAGCCUGUGUAUAUCAGAAUUUUCCAUCUGUGGGUUUUUGACACAGGAGAAAUUACACAAAGUCUAAAACAAUGUGUUUGAAUGUGCAAUGGUUGAUAAUAUUGCAUUGCAAACAAAGAACCGGUCACUAAUGAAGCAAUGUAGUUGAUCUUGUGGAGGAAAAAAUUAUAUACGUAUAUAUAUAUUCUUGUAUUAUUUUUGGUCAGUAUUUGGGAUCUCAUUAAUUUUUCCUGUUGUACCAUUAUUUAUGCUCUUUACUCGUUACCAUUUAUAAUAUCCAUGUGAGAUAACAAUAAUUAGACAAGUUUGAAUCCAAGAACUUCACCAUAAUUGGCUGUGCAUUGCACUGUUUUAAUGGUAAAGCAUGUUGUUCGGCCAACUGAGCACUCUUAUCUUCCAGUACUAAGAGUAUCAAGACUCUAUAUCUGGCCACCGAUUCCAGAUAACUAGGGAAUUUAAAGUUUUCUGUUCUCAGAUGAUAAAGUUUGAAUGUAUAAGGAAGGAGAUCUCUGAGUGUCAUUAUAUAAUUGUGUAUCUCAUUUGUAUAGAUCAAAAGUUUGCAGAAUACUAGGAGUAAGUGAAAGGGGACCAUAAACUAUUUCACAUUUAACUGCUGGCAACUUUCCUAGGCAGUAUGCUUUAAAGAACAUUUAUAUUUUUAAGAAAAGUGACACUGAAAAUAGUUCAGUGUUCUGUUCUGUCAGUUCAGAUCCUAUGGUUAAACAAUGAUAUUAAUUAUAGAAUUAAAAAACAGUAAUCUGCUGCUUUUUUUCACUAAAGUAGUAUCUUGUUAAGCAGCCAAAAAUGAAGUAAAUACCUGUCAUUAUUAAUUCUUAUAUGUUAUGAAUUGUUGAACACUGGUACUGAUUUUUAUGUUUACAACUCAGAAUUUGUGAAACACUUUCUCUUGUGGACUAUAGCAGUAUAUUUUGGUAUAUGGUAUAGGAGAGAGAACAUAUUCUUAGGAAUGUGGAUUUGUCAGCUUUCAUUGUGUGUUAGGUGAGGAGACAACAGCUGAUACUUUGUUAGUUGCACUGCUUAGGUUCUCAUAUAACUGCCUUAACUUUGAUACAGAGUCUUAAAUAUUCAGCACUGUUUGACAUACAAGGAAUUGGAGUCCUUGAAAAUGGCAUGUUAUGUAAAUUUACGUUAGACAGACUUAAUGCCAUGUGUGUUAAAUGGAAUAUGUAAACACUGUCUCAUAAAGCCCCCUGUAGGAUGUCUAUGUUCACUGAGAUAACCACUUGAAGCUAUAACAACAAAUGUUUGUUGUGUUCAGAACGCGUAUUACAAACGAGCGUAUACCGGCAGAGACUUCUCUCAUGGUGGCUAGUCCAGUCCGGUGAUUACAAUGUCAAGUGCAGGCCCUGAAAAGAGCCAUUUUGUCUAGCAGUGUCUCCUUUUAGCAGCCCUACCUAUGCUGUUUUGGGGUAUGCGGUAGCAUAGUUGGUUGAUACGUUAUGCUACAAGCUGAAAGGUUGUGGGUUCAAGUCCCGAUGAG